CUUGCACACACACAGCUGCCUUCUCACGUGCUGCCUCUCGCGGACUCCUCCAGGGUGAGAGCUGGGCCUUUGCAUGGCCUGGAUGGCACUUCCCUAGGAAAGAGUCGCAGCUGUUCCAGUCUGAGCUGACUGCAUGCACCUGCAGCUCUGGCUCCUCCCACCACUUAGCACUCAGGUGUGGAGCAGUGCAGCAGCGGCCGCCCUGAAGGGCUGCGUGGCACAAUUGGGAGUAAGGUAUCCUUGCUAGUGCUUUGCCUCAAAGUAAUCAUGACUAAUGAUAAUUCGGUCAAAUAUGAUGACACACAUUGCUAACUUCUGUCACAGAAGAUGGCAUUGACAGUGGUUGAGAAUAGAAUGCUGGUGGGAAUGGUAUCGAUGGCACUUGAGACCUGGAGUUACUGCAGAAAUUUUCCUUUGCAAUUGCAGGUCCUUCCUACAGUUUAUUGACUAUUCAACAAGUUGCUUAAGUGUCUGGUUACAUCUAUUUUCUACACAUAUCUAUCUUGAUGGAACUGUGUUGUGAUAAGUGGUACUUCAAUCCUGGGAGACUGGCUACAUUCCAGAACUAUCGGUGAAUCAGUCUUGCCAUUCAGUGAGAAGAAUGUGACACCUCGCCUUCAAACAUGCUGCAGAUUCAAAAUCACCAACGUUUGGAUAACAGAAUGCCAACUGUAGACCAUUAUUUUGGCAUGUGCAUGGCAUGUGUGUGUGCAUGUAUGAGAGAGAGAGAGAGAGAGAGAGAACUGUAGAGGGCAGAGUCUACAAUAUUUUUUUAAAAGACAGAAAAGAGAUCAUUUAAAAAAUACACUCAAGAUAUCUUGAUGACUAAUGACAUUAUUCUUCAUAAAAUUGCAGAUCCAUAUUUUACUUUCAGGAGCAGAAUGCACUAUUUCCUCUCAGUCAUAGACAAAGGCCCUUUCAGGUAAGGUAGUAUUUUACCUUAAAUCCUGCAACGUCAAGCCAGAGUCAUUGCUCUAAAGGAACUGAACCUUCUGCCACUUCAACAACCCCUAAGUGCUGACUGUUAACUCGUUUUUCUUCUCCUUUGAUGUGGCUGUGACAAGAAACAAAUUUAUAAAAGUAGAGUUAUCUGUGAUGCUGGGCCAUUGGACAGCUGGCCUUGUAAAAAUUAAUACAAUAAGUGAGUGGUGGUAGUCACCACGAUCAGAUCUGUGCCAAAGUUGCAAUUAGGAACACAGAUGUUUUGUUGCUGAUUCAUAAUUUUCCACUUACAAAGGUUGUUUUAAAGAUUAUUUGUUAGAUGUAUUGUGGUUGUCAAUGUUUGCUGUUUGUGAUGAAAAGUAUGGGUACAGUACUUUUAAGAAUAAUUUAAAAAUUUUAAUUUAGGCAACGAAGAAAUGUGUGUGCAUGCAUGCUUGUGUUUGUGUGUGUGUCUGUAAGGCAUAACAUGGUUUCAGUAAGACUUCAAGUGGAGGGAGUCCUUCCUAGGAACAAAUACUCGGCUACUUCAAUAUUUAUUUCUGUUUGGUUUUGAAAUGUUUGGUGUUCUUUUUCCAAGAUAUUUCUAAUGCUAUUUUUAUGAAAGAAAGUAAGUUUAUACUUUCUUUGCUUGCUGCUUC